rnacentral:rRNA from 1 species
CACGUAGGGGGCAAGCGUUGUCCGGAUUUAUUGGGCGUAAAGAGCUCGUAGGCGGUGUGUCGCGUCGGCCGUGAAAACCUGCAGCUUAACUGUGGGCUUGCGGUCGAUACGGGCAUCACUGGAGUUCGGCAGGGGAGACUGGAAUUCCUGGUGUAGCGGUGAAAUGCGCAGAUAUCAGGAGGAACACCGGUGGCGAAGGCGGGUCUCUGGGCCGAUACUGACGCUGAGGAGCGAAAGCGUGGGGAGCAAACAGG